UGUUGAGAAGCCUGUCAGGUACUUUAUUUCCUUCUCAAGAUAUUGAAGUUGAUCUUUCUUGUCUAUAAUAAAAUCAGAGUUGAAGCUCGUUAUAAGCUGCUUCAAGGUCUCUAAGAAAAAAUCAAUAGCAAUGUUACCCCUCUCUCUCUCUCUUCCCGCAGAUUGAUCAGGUAAAAGGGAGUUAGAAAUAGAAAUAGAGGAGGAGCAGAAUG